rnacentral:tRNA from 1 species
UGCCCUAUAGCUCAAUGGCAGAGCGAUCGCUUGUUAAGCGAAGGGUUGUAGGUUCAAGUCCUACUGGGGCAGCCA